rnacentral:tRNA from 1 species
GGAGGCGUGCCCGAAAUCCAAGGACUACUUUGAUAGAGUACACCACAGGGGUUAAAACCCCCUCACCUCCC